GCAACACCGCGUCCGGGUCAACCGGAAAGAAAUACAAUUCCCAUAAUACAACGCUCCAAAAUCGGAAAUACGUCUCUCUCCCACAAUGCACUGCGCUGGCGCGUAGUGCCGCUCGUAGAACUACCUCGCCUAAAGUGCUCUGAGGCGACAUGGCCAUUUUCAGCGUGUACGUUGUGAACAAGGCCGGAGGCCUCAUCUACCAGCUGGAUCACUACGCGCCGCGCUCCGAGACCGAGAAAACCUUCAGCUUCCCCUUGGACCUGGUGCUUAAACUGCACGACGAGCGCGUGGUGGUGGCGUUCGGGCAGCGGGACAGCAUCCGGGUUGGACAUGCUGUGCUUUCCAUCAAUGGCAUUGAUGUGAAUGGGAAAUACACUGCUGACGGGAAGGAGGUGCUGGAGUACCUUGGCAACCCUACCAACUACCCUGUGUCCAUCCGUUUUGGCCGGCCUCGCCUCUCCUCCAAUGAGAAGCUCAUGCUGGCCUCCAUGUUCCACUCGUUGUUUGCAAUUGGGUCCCAGUUGUCUCCUGAGCUGGGGAGUUCCGGUAUUGAGAUGUUAGAAACAGACACAUUUAAACUACACUGUUUUCAGACCCUAACAGGGAUCAAAUUUGUGGUGCUUGCUGAUCCACGGCAAGCUGGAAUAGAGUCCCUUCUGCGCAAGAUCUAUGAGAUUUAUUCUGACUUUGCUCUGAAAAAUCCUUUCUACUCACUGGAGAUGCCAAUCAGGUGUGAGCUGUUUGAUCAGAACUUAAAACUUGCUUUGGAGGUAGCAGAAAAAGCUGGACCAUUUGGACCAGGAUCAUAGGACUUUUCCGGUGUCAGUACUGAGCCUCUCCUCACUAGACAGCCUUUCCAGGAUUCUGUCUCUGGCUACAGCAGCCAGAGAGGAGGUCAUAAGGUCCCAAACUGCUUUUGUCAUCUUCAGAAAUGCUGCUUUAUUCUAUGGGUGUGGAAUCUACCUUUGCCUAACACUGAAUGUUAUUACAGCUAAGAACGGGCAUACAUGGCUGAAGCUGUGAUUGCAGCUCUAAUGCUCUUACUGUAACACAGAGGAAGGAGAGUCACUUGUGAUUGUGACCCGGAAAAGGUACAUCGAAGCAGACAUUCCCGCCAUCAUGGAAAGCAGGAGCACAUGCCGAGGAUUUCCAUAACUUGACAGACCCACCUGUAAUACAUAUUGGAACAGAGCGAGAGAAUGCACACAGAAAAUGUGAGUUACUAAUGCCAACUGAUUCACAGAAGUUAGGUCCAAAAGGGAGUGAUGAGCGGCAUAACAUCACAUCACCCAGUAAUUUCUGCUUCAAUCUCAUGACUUCUGUUUGAGAUACAGUAUAUCUAUAAAUUAAGACUGAUGUCUUUCCAAAAGACUCCAAAUGACGUGGAAUCCACUGUGUCCCAAGGUCAGUUGAACCAGUGGUUAAUUAUCCUCUCUGACCUUACUUUUAGUUGAUUUGUCUGGCUUCAGCUCCCAACCACUCUAUUUCAUUAUGCUUUUUUCUGCUAGAUUAAAGAGGCUUCUUCUUUCAGAAAUCUCCCCAACGUAGGUAACAGUAUUUGUAGUGUAGACCAUGAUCAAGCCACCUCUUAACAUUCUUUUGGAUGCACUAAAUAGAUUGAGCUUCUUCAAUCUCUCACUAAGGCAUAUGUUCCAGAUCUCUGAUAAUUCUUGUAGCUCUUUUCUGAAUCCUUUCCAAUUUUUCAACAUCCUUUUUGCAAUGUGGACACCAGAACUGGACAAAGUAAUCCAGUAAUGGUCACACUAAUGCCACAUUCAGAAAUAGCACAUCCAGUGCUUUCCCCUCAUCCAGAGCCGGUUAUCUCGUCUGAAACUGUCUGUGACCCCACAGCAGCCCUGUGUGCCCUUGUGGGCAGGGUGUUGUGAUGAACUCUACUCCUGGGGGAUUCUACCGCAUAGAAUUUUGUCUUUUCCCGCAUAAAAUAAAUUUUACCUAAGUAGUGCUGCAGUUCUGCCUUUUGCCCACCAGAGGCCGUUGUGGGACUAGAACGCAGCAGGAUUUUCUGGCGCCACAGCGGCCUCUGGUGGAUAAAAGGAGGAAUUGCCGCACUUUGGCAAAAUGUUUUUUAGGCGGGAAAAUUAAAAAUUAUGCGAGACGGAUGAAUUUAAUUCCCGCGCAGGCAUAAAAUGGUAACGUUACAAAAUGUUAUAAUCUAAUCUGGUUUGAGUGACCUAUAUAAAUCUCCUCAAAGCUUCUUCCUUAGGGACACCAGAGGCGUGAUUUAAUUAUAGGGCUGUGAUAAACUUGUAACAAAACCGGGCAAAAUUCACCUGGUUUUCAAUUUAAUUAAAAAACUCAAUCCAGACCUGCAAGUCUUUGACUACCCUAGCCGAGUUUUAAAUCAGGUGAACUACUAUUCUGGGUGGAAACUGCUUGUUCUAACAAUUUCAGGUGAGGUUUCACUUUGUGUUUUGGGGUUUGUUUGAAUGAGAAUCUGAGAGCAAAAGUGAAGAGGUGCAUACCCACAAGAAGUGAACUGGAGAAGUGGGGUUGCACAAAACUCUGAGAAUGAAACCAAUGAGCUCUAGAUUAGUGUAUAUUGGUCUCUAUAUUAUCAUGUCAAUUAAUGUGUUUCUCAUAGGUAGCUUUAUAUCUUUGCAGAAGUGUCUACUAAUCACACGAGACCAAGAUGACGUUGGAAAGUCUCAGCUAGUGAUUUUCACAGUAUAGACCCAUUUUUGUGCUGCUCUGCUUUAAAGUAAUGUUUAUUAUUUCCAUUAUCUAGAAAGGGGCCCCAGCAGGAGUUUUGCCAUAACACAAUCUAUGUUAUGCCUCCCCUACUCCAACUGAAUGCUAGACGGUGCCACUACUGACAGCAGUAAAUCCCACAUUACCUUCACUAGUACAGGACUCCAGCAUAGCAGUCCUAGGCCUCUGACCACACCCAUCAGGCCAAGUUUCCAUAUGCUUGUUGACUCGUUGAUUUGGAAAUUAUCAAACAUGUUAAUGGACUGGACCUAUAGCUCUACCCAAACUCUUUGUAUAGGGCAGACCCUGGUUUGUAUUUUGCAAAACCACAGCAGAUCAGAUACAGUUUCAGACAAACAUCAGAAGUUUCGGGGAGGCAAGGAACAGAAAAUGAUUUUGAGAGUGACCACCUCUGGUAUGGUGUGUGCCCAUACUCCCUAUCUCCACUGCUGGGCACAGAGCAUGCAGACUGGGACUUUCAAAGAAGCCUAGAUGAGAUAGGCACUUAACUUCCAUCAGUCUGUUGGAAAAUCCCAGCUGUUUGAAAAGUUUUUGUAUCUUCUGAAGUGUUUAGAAAGAAAAAAUAAACUAAUUUUAAAGUG